AACGUUUGUCACGUCGGCGUCACUGGCGACACCAUCGGCAUACGUGCCAAACGAGGAGAUUACGCAUAAAGAACCUUGUAAGCACGGUGUUUCGAUCAGCGCCAUUCAACACGUCACAAAUCGUAUCGCUGUAGCCACCUCCGCGAAUCGCAAACUGCUCCGUCACCAUCCGCAACGGUGUAGAACAAGGAAAUUCCGCGUAAAAGAUCAACCUUACUUUAAACCGUAUUGCUGUAUUGCUUCCGUAAGCCACGAACUAACCCGACGUUAUCCGCAACGGUUCCGCGCCGAGAGGGUCUGCACGAAAGAGACACGGAAAGGCCAUUCCUAAGAGGGUGUCUUCGGAUUAAACAACCCCGAGAAAGGGGUUUUGUUUUGCACCUACAGAUCCGUCGACACGGUGGUCUCCGAGGCCAACGAUUGCCUGGCCGGCUGCGAAUCGAACGGGUACGGAACGGGACGGCUGGAGAGAGUCUCUACCACGCGUGGCGGUGAUUGGGAGUGGCACAAGCUGCGGCUCUGACUAGGGGCGACCGACGACCGGUAGCAAUUGGGGCAAGCAGAUACCCAAAGGCAACCGAAUGACAAGGCGCACGGCACGACGCGUCACCAGAGCAACGCUGCUUAUCUGUGGUUUGUGUUAACAACGGUCGAUGAGCAAAACCACUAGA